rnacentral:rRNA from 1 species
UGGGGAAUAUUGCACAAUGGAGGGAACUCUGAUGCAGCAACGCCGCGUGCGGGAUGACGGCCUUCGGGUUGUAAACCGCUUUCAGCCAUGACGAAGCUUUUGUGACGGUAGUGGUAGAAGAAGCACCGGCUAACUACGUGCCAGCAGCCGCGGUGAUACGUAGGGUGCGAGCGUUGUCCGGAAUUAUUGGGCGUAAAGAGCUUGUAGGCGGUUUGUCGCGUCGAAAGUGUAAACUCAGUGCUUAACGCUGAGCCUGCUUUCGAUACGGGCUGACUAGAGGAGGGUAGGGGAGAAUGGAAUUCCCGGUGGAGCGGUGGAAUGCGCAGAUAUCGGGAGGAACACCAGUGGCGAAGGCGGUUCUCUGGACCUUUCCUGACGCUGAGAAGCGAAAGCGUGGGCAGCAAACAGG